rnacentral:rRNA from 1 species
GCAAGUCGUGCGAGAAAGAUCUUCGGAUAUGAGUAGAGCGGCGGACGGGUGAGUAACGCGUAGGAAUCUACCUAGUAGAAGGGGAUAGCCCGGGGAAACCCGGAUUAAUACCGUAUACCUCCUUCGGGAGAAAGAAGGCCUCUCUUUGAAGCUUUCGCUAUUAGAUGAGCCUGCGUAAGAUUAGCUUGUUGGUGAGGUAAAGGCUCACCAAGGCUACGAUCUUUAGCUGGUCUGAGAGGACGAUCAGCCACAUUGGGACUGAGACACGGCCCAGACUCCUACGGGAGGCAGCAGUGGGGAAUAUUGGACAAUGGGCGCAAGCCUGAUCCAGCCAUACCGCGUGUGUGAAGAAGGCCUUCGGGUUGUAAAGCACUUUAAGCAGGGAGAAAAAGUUAUAAGUUAAUACCUUAUAACCGUGAUGUUACCUGCAGAAUAAGCACCGGCUAAUUCCGUGCCAGCAGCCGCGGUAAUACGGAAGGUGCAAGCGUUAAUCGGAAUUACUGGGCGUAAAGCGCGCGUAGGUGGUUUGUUAAGUUGGAUGUGAAAGCCCUGGGCUCAACCUAGGAACUGCAUCCAAAACUAACUCACUAGAGUACGAUAGAGGGAGGUAGAAUUCAUAGUGUAGCGGUGGAAUGUGUAGAUAUUAUGAAGAAUACCAGUGGCGAAGGCGGCCUCCUGGAUCUGUACUGACACUGAGGUGCGAAAGCGUGGGUAGCGAACAGGAUUAGAUACCCUGGUAGUCCACGCCGUAAACGAUGACAACUAGCUGUUGGAAGACAACGUCUCUCAGUGGCGCAGCUAACGUUUUAAGUUGUCCGCCUGGGGAGUACGGCCG